UACGAGGGGGGCGAGCGUUGUUCGGAAUUAUUGGGCGUAAAGGGUGUGUAGGCGGCCUGACAAGUCUGAUGUGAAAUCCCUGGGCUCAACCCAGGGCCUGCAUCGGAAACUGUCGGGCUUGAGUAUGGGAGAGGUGAGUGGAAUUUCCGGUGUAGCGGUGAAAUGCGUAGAUAUCGGAAGGAACACCUGUGGCGAAAGCGGCUCACUGGACCAUUACUGACGCUGAGGCACGAAAGCUAGGGGAGCAAACAGG
rnacentral:rRNA from 1 species